UGCACUCGUCCCGGCCUCCUG
rnacentral:miRNA from 1 species